GGAGACGUGGCCGAGAGGCUGAAGGCACUCGUUUGCUAAAUGAGCAGGCCCCCAAAAGGGUCUCGAGGGUUCGAAUCCCUCCGUCUCCGCCA
rnacentral:tRNA from 1 species